AUGAACUGGGUCCCCACCCACAGCGAUUUUGCAGAAUUUUGGUGGUGCAUAUUUCUCAGAAGCAGGACAAGCCAGACAAGCCGUCAGGAGGCGCAAAGAGAGAAACAUCUACAGAGGCAGAACUCACAAGUGCUGGCUGCUUCCAAGAUUGGGUGUGUGUCAGAGGACCCCAGAAAGCUCACAGACUGGACCCGAGGACCACCAUCGGCUCAGAUAAAGGAAAUUUCAGUGGUGGGUGAAGAUGGUGAUUUCCUCUCUCUCCCACAGGCUCCAUCUGGGGUUCUGCAUGUAUUAGAUACUGUGAAGAAACACCAGUGGCUCAGCUUCAGCUGCACCCCAGGCAUUGUGCUGCAGGCUUUCCAAGUAUUUCCCCAUAGAAUCCAGAGAAGCACCCUGCGACGGAGGCCUCCCUCAAUUCUGUGUGUCUCAACACAGAAACAGAUGACAAAACUUCAAAGAUGAGGAAACUCAAGCAGAAAUACCACGUAACUUGCUUGAAAACAUCCAGGUAAUAAGUGGAAGUACAGGAUCUGAACUCACGACUUAACCAUACCUAUGUCUUCACCAUCCCCACUAUGUCACAUCUGCACUGCAGUGAAAUGAGAGAGCAUUUGGAAGUACCUAACACAGCACUUAGCACAUCACAGGCACUCAAAUGUCAAACAGGUCCGGCCCACAGUAGGCACUCACAUGCCAGCUCAGUGCCCCCUCUUUAUAGCCACACCAUCCUCAGAGUUCCUUCCAGACAGGACACAGCCAGGGCUCAAGGCUGAACAUGUGUUGUGAGUGUAUCUUGUGGUUUAUCCAGAGACAUGUCUAAUUUGCAGGUAUCUAAGAGGCAUAUUGUCAGGAUGGAAAAAUAGGUAAAUCUGAACAGACUAAUAAUCUGUCAUUGUAUCAAAGCACUUUUCCUCCCUCUCCUCUCUCAACCCAAAUUCUUUAGCCUAUUGCGAAUAUUUAGUCUCACUGGUUUGCUCACUUGUUUACAGAAAGACCACAUAGUAGCUCCUCAAAUGAGAAUCAAGGAACAUGGGCACCAGAUGGCCCUUGUCUUACACUCCUCAACUCUGCUUCUCCAGGAGCAGUGACCUAUGUAACAUCACUCAGUGGCAAGACCUGUGAACCUGGAUGGGGUCAUGCAUGUAAGCAGGCUAGCCAGGUGGUCCUUGGUCACCAAGCCCGUGGACUACACGAUGAGGGCAAAGGAAUUGAAAAUGAGCGCUCAGCCAGAGGCAAUAAAGCACUCAGGUUCAUCCUUAGCUCUGCACAGCCACACCGCUGCCAC
rnacentral:lncRNA from 1 species